GAUUAGCUAGUAGGUGGGGUAACGGCUCACCUAGGCGACGAUCCCUAGCUGGUCUGAGAGGAUGACCAGCCACACUGGAACUGAGACACGGUCCAGACUCCUACGGGAGGCAGCAGUGGGGAAUAUUGCACAAUGGGCGCAAGCCUGAUGCAGCCAUGCCGCGUGUAUGAAGAAGGCCUUCGGGUUGUAAAGUACUUUCAGCGGGGAGGAAGGUGUUGUGGUUAAUAACCUCAUGAAUUGACGUUACCCGCAGAAGAAGCACCGGCUAACUCCGUGCCAGCAGCCGCGGUAAUACGGAGGGUGCAAGCGUUAAUCGGAAUUACUGGGCGUAAAGC
rnacentral:rRNA from 1 species